rnacentral:rRNA from 1 species
UAACUCCGGGAAACCGGGGCUAAUACCGGAUAACACAUGAAACCGCAUGGUUUCAUGAUGAAAGACGGUUUUGCUGUCACUUAUAGAUGGACCCGCGGCGUAUUAGCUAGUUGGUAAGGUAACGGCUUACCAAGGCAACGAUACGUAGCCGACCUGAGAGGGUGAUCGGCCACACUGGAACUGAGACACGGUCCAG